UUUUUUUUUUUUUCCAAAAGCAUUUUUAACUGGCUAGAGAGUUCUAGGUGAGCUGUCAUGUCCCUGAAUUUUGAAUAAAUCCUUCAAUUGUCUCCCAGCAGCCAUCGUUUCUGUGCCGAGGUCAGGCGUCUGUCACUGUCACAGUCUUCUGGUUUCCUUUCUGACAGCUGGACUGUGACCCGUGGUCUUCUUCAUGUCCGUAGAUUUUCUCAGAUAAACAGCUUGAUGGCCUCCACUGGCUUGGGAAUUUCCUGACCAGGGUUUCUUCAAAUCUUUCUCCCCUGCGUGUCUCCCCUUGCCUUCUGGGGCUCCCAUCCACAUGGGUUAGAGCUUUUUAUGGUGCCUCAGGUGUUUUAGGCUAUUUUUUGAUAUUUUCUGCCAAUUUACUAUUCUGAGCUCUAACCCAUCACCAAAUCCACCUUUCAAGUACUUAGCUUUGAUUAGCGUAGAUUUUUGUUCCAGUAUUUCCAUUGACUAAAAAAUGAAUUCAGUACUCCUGUGAAAUCUUUCAUCUUGUCAUAUUGCUGUGUAUAUUAACAGUUAAUUUGACCACUAAAAAUCAGCAGAGAAAGAUUAAAAACAGUUUAUUUAAAAUCCAUAGCUAGAGCUCCCAUUCGCUCAGUGGGUUCAGAACCCGACACAGUGUCCAUGAGGAUGUGGGUUCUGUCCCUGGCCUCGCUCAGUGGGUUAAGGAUGCAACAUUGCCUCAAGCUGUGGCAUGGGUCACAGAUGCAGCUCAGAUCCCACAUGGCUGUGGCUGUGGUGUAGUGUGAGAGCUGCAGCCCCAAUUCGACCCCUAGCCUGGAAACUUCUAUAUGCCACAGGUGCAGCCCUAAAAAGAAAAAUAAAAUAAAAUCUCUAUCUGGUAACUUCAAUUUGUUUAUUUGUCUUUCUGUCUCAUGGUAUUUGGCCACUUGGUCCUUUGGUAUGGUUGGAAAUUUUGAGUGUAUUUUUUGUUUGUUUUUUUGUGCUAUUUUAGGCCUGCACCCAAGACAUACGGAGCUUCCCAGGCUAGGGGUCGAACUGGUGCUACAGCUGCCGGCCUGCAUCACAGCCACGGCAGUGCAGGAUCUGAGCGGCAUCUGCGACCUACGCCACUGCUCACGGCAACACCAGAUCCUCCACCCUCCGAGCCAGGCCAGGGAUUGAUCCCACAUCCUCAUGGAUCCUAGCUGGGUUUGUUAAGCCCCGAGCCACGGAGGGAACGCCCCUUGAGAGUGUUUCGGAUGCCAUGCAAGGAAAUAGAGGUUUUGGAUGGUUUAUUUCCCUCCAAGGUCCAUUUAAUUCCCUUCUGGGGGAGUCAAGCUCUGAGUCAAGGAAUCUAAACACCCAAGAAGUUUAGAAAAAUCACAAACAAAAAGCCGCAAAUGAGGGAGCUUAUAACAUCUGAAGCAGAAGCGUUAGGACAGACAAAUUAUUUGAUGUAAGUAUGACAAAUACCCUUUUUUGUUGUUGUUGUUGUUGUUGUUGUUGCUAUUUCUUUGGCCGCACCCGCGGCAUAUGGAGGUUCCCAGGCUAGGGGUCGAAUCGGAGCUGUAGCCGCCGGCCUACGCCAGAGCCACAGCAACGCGGGAUCCGAGCCGUGUCUGCAACCUACACCACAGCUCACGGCAACGCUGGAUCGUUAACCCACUGAGCAAGGGCAGGGACCGAACCCGCAACCUCAUGGUUCCUAGUCGGAUUCGUUAACCACUGCACCACAACGAGAACUCCACAAAUAUCCUUUUAAAAUAAGGGGAGACACUAGCAAUUGGGGCAAAAAAUACCCUGAAAAAAAGAAGAAAGUAGAAAUAGUAGGUACACAAUAGUUGAAAGAACAAACUAUUUUGAAGGCACAAUAAAACUAUUACGAGGCUCAAAAGGUUGCCAACAAAACCCACAAUGAAAAGUUUUUGGAGGAAACCUCAAAAUGAAAACAAACCCAGAAAAACUGCAAGAGAUACAAGGAGGAAAAAAAAGAAAGAUUAAAACUAUAUCUUUAUAAGGUUUAUUGUUGUCUUAAGAAAAAACUAAGACCAAAGAAAAGAAACACCUACACAUAUGCCCACGACCCCAGAACAAAAACCCUCGGUAGUGCUGAGAGAUGUGGAGACCAGAGGCCCUGGUCUGGCCGCGCCUUUGCUCUCAAUGGGAAUAAAGGCAAAAAGAAAAAUGACAGGAAAGCUGGGGCAGAUGGGAAUCCCAGCAAUGCUGGAAAGUCAGCCAUCUCUGCGAAGCUGGGCGCCCCCCCCCCACCCCCAUGUGCGCUGGAUGCCCCUCCAAGGUCCCUUCCCCCACUGACCACUCCUCCUGGCCUCGGCCUCGGAGUCCAGGCGCCCAGGGCUUUGUACUGGGCUCCCGGGCUGUGUCUCAGGAGAGGCGCCAUCUCCUGGUCCCUGGGCACGAGACAGCCUUGGCUCCUCUCCAGGGGUGCCAGCCUGGGCGCCCCUCCCUCCAGCAGCCCACCCAGCGUGAGCCCCAUCGCUCGUCCCCGCUCUCACGGCCAGCACCUCCUCCUCUAGGGGCUCCAGACAAAACCCCAGCUCAUCCUGUCCCGUCCCUCCCCUGAGCCAUCAGUGCCCAGCUCUCCUUCCAACGCCCCCACCGGAUCCCCCUUCCAGGCCCCAUCCGCUGCCCUGGGCGCUGGCCACAGCCUCCCGUGCCCCCAUCGCACAGCCUCCAAGGGGCCAAGGGAUCCGUAGAACUGAGCUGCAGGCCCCCACUAACAGAUGAACACGUGCUGCCCU
rnacentral:lncRNA from 1 species